UUCUGAUAUCUCUUCCUAGAAAUGAAACGACAGUACAAGACAAUGGAAUCAGAAAUGAGUGUGAAGGUACACCUUCUGGAAACCAAACUGGCUUGUUGUAAGCAAAAGUUAUGUGAAACAGAAGCAAAACUGUUGAAUUCACAAGAAGAAACAAUGCACCAUCUUAAAGAAAAACAGAAAGAAAUUGAUCUUCUUCACCAGCAGCAAAAUUCAAUACAGAAUUUCUAUGAAAAAAUAAUUCAUGAAGUUUUUGAUGACCUUGUGUUGAAAGUCAAUAGAACAAGAGAUCAUUUGGAAGAACAUGGUGUAAUGAUUCAGGCCAAAAAUAAGAAAAUACUUCUUGAAUUUGGCUUAAAUCCACUUGAUUUGUAAUAUUUUUGCCUCAAGAUUUUCUGCUCCACAAGGUAUGGCUUCAUCUUUGUCUUGAGACAAUUAUAUUCUCUUCGACAGAAAAUGUUUAAAAAGAGAAUGGAAGAGUAGAGUUGGCCUCACCAUCAUGAGAUAACAAGCAACUAUGAUGGCACUUCUUGUCCGUCCAGCUUUACAAUGAACAUAAACACACUGACCAAGUUGUUGAUAAUAGCUGAUGAAAGCCAGAGCUUGAGUGACCUGCCACAAGCUGGGUGUCCCAACGAAAUCUUCAACUUCCACUUGGAGGAAACCAACACCAAGAUCCUUCCAUUCCUUAGAAGGAAACAUAUAUAUGUAUAUAUAAAGGAGAGUGAAAGAGAAGGAAAGAGAGAGGAAGAAAGAAAGAGAGAGAGAGAGAGAGAAACAGUGUUAAUAAAAUGAUUCUCUAUAA